rnacentral:rRNA from 1 species
GCAGGCCUAACACAUGCAAGUCGAGCGGAUGAGAAGAGCUUGCUCUUCGAUUCAGCGGCGGACGGGUGAGUAAUGCCUAGGAAUCUGCCUGGUAGUGGGGGACAACGUUUCGAAAGGAACGCUAAUACCGCAUACGUCCUACGGGAGAAAGCAGGGGACCUUCGGGCCUUGCGCUAUCAGAUGAGCCUAGGUCGGAUUAGCUAGUUGGUGAGGUAAUGGCUCACCAAGGCGACGAUCCGUAACUGGUCUGAGAGGAUGAUCAGUCACACUGGAACUGAGACACGGUCCAGACUCCUACGGGAGGCAGCAGUGGGGAAUAUUGGACAAUGGGCGAAAGCCUGAUCCAGCCAUGCCGCGUGUGUGAAGAAGGUCUUCGGAUUGUAAAGCACUUUAAGUUGGGAGGAAGGGCAUUAACCUAAUACGUUAGUGUUUUGACGUUACCGACAGAAUAAGCACCGGCUAACUCUGUGCCAGCAGCCGCGGUAAUACAGAGGGUGCAAGCGUUAAUCGGAAUAUCUGGGACGUAAAGCGCGCGUAGGUGGUUUGUUAAGUUGGAUGUGAAAGCCCCGGGCUCAACCUGGGAACUGCAUCCAAAACUGGCAAGCUAGAGUACGGUAGAGGGUGGUGGAAUUUCCUGUGUAGCGGUGAAAUGCGUAGAUAUAGGAAGGAACACCAGUGGCGAAGGCGACCACCUGGACUGAUACUGACACUGAGGUGCGAAAGCGUGGGGAGCAAACAGGAUUAGAUACCCUGGUAGUCCACGCCGUAAACGAUGUCAACUAGCCGUUGGAAUCCUUGAGAUUUUAGUGGCGCAGCUAACGCAUUAAGUUGACCGCCUGGGGAGUACGGGCGCAAGGUUAAAACUCAAAUGAAUUGACGGGGGCCCGCA